rnacentral:lncRNA from 1 species
CAAGAGCUGACGUGUGCAGAAGUCCUUCUUGUUCUGGUCCUUGCUCCCGUCUGAGUACCAGCUCCCCAUUGCCCUGAGGGCCAGCGGGCCUGCGGCAGAGGGAAGGAGGAGGAGAAGAAGGAAAUUGUCCCGGAUCCUUGCAGUCUUUCCGUAGGUUGCGGCACUACGCCAGGCAAGAGAAGAGGAAGGAAAUUAACCCCAAUCGGUGAAGGUCGAUUUGAGGGUCUGCUGUAGCAGGUGGCACCACUUGAGGCGAGGGAGGAAGUUUCCUCGGAUCAGUAGAGAUUGCAAGGGUUGUUGGGCGUGGCACACCUCCAGGGGAGGAAGAAGGGACAAAGUGCCUGUCUGGAGGAGGUUAGUGCAACAGUGCCACUCCCUGGGGACACCUGAGGUUGGGGCUGGC